rnacentral:rRNA from 1 species
AUUGAACGCUGGCGGCAGGCCUAACACAUGCAAGUCGAGCGGAUGAAGGGAGCUUGCUCCUGGAUUCAGCGGCGGACGGGUGGGUAAUGCCUAGGAAUCUGCCUGGUAGUGGGGGAUAACGUCCGGAAACGGGCGCUAAUACCGCAUACGUCCUGAGGGAGAAAGUGGGGGAUCUUCGGACCUCACGCUAUCAGAUGAGCCUAGGUCGGAUUAGCUAGUUGGUGGGGUAAAGGCCUACCAAGGCGACGAUCCGUAACUGGUCUGAGAGGAUGACCAGUCACACUGGAACUGAGACACGGUCCAGACUCCUACGGGAGGCAGCAGUGGGGAAUAUUGGACAAUGGGCGAAAGCCUGAUCCAGCCAUGCCGCGUGUGUGAAGAAGGUCUUCGGAUUGUAAAGCACUUUAAGUUGGGAGGAAGGGCAGUAAGUUAAUACCUUGCUGUUUUGACGUUACCAACAGAAUAAGCACCGGCUAACUUCGUG